GGCGAGCGGCCGCAGAGCGCCGAGGGGCUCGCCGCACACCCUCCCCGGCCCUCGGGGUCUGCCUAGGGUCCCCAGGAGGGGAAACUCGAGAAGCUGGCGCGGCGCCGGGGAACCAACCCUCUGCCAGCACCUCCCUUCCUCCCUUUCCUAGUCCAACUCCCUGGACCCCGACACAAAAGAGCCCAGAGCUUCGCUCCAGCAGCCGAGGCCCACACCUGCUCAAGCCCAGCACCCGCGGGAUUGAUCCUUCCUCCCCGGCUUCGGAGAGCGAGUGGACCCCAUCUUCGUAAGCUUUCUCCCCCGCGUCUGCAUCUGGAGCAGCUGCGCGAACGUUGGUGCAGUCCCGCCCGGGCACCCGGCUCCGGCGUCUCUCCCGGGCUGAGGUCUCUGCGGACCGGUGUGCGGGCCACUGGGCGGCGGGCCGCCCGCUGCCGUCCCGUCGCUCGGGCAGAGUCAGCCAGGCCCAGCCUCGGAGCAACCCGGCCCGCGUGCUUCGAGGCCAGCCAAAGGUCGCUCAUAGCAGUGAGGCAUGCAGCCCUGAAAGGAUCCUGUAGGAAAGCUGUGUUGGAGACAGAGAUGAAGCCGUCCCUUCCAGAAAGUGCUGUUAGUGGAGGAAUCUAGGCAAAGCUAACAUUUUGCUACCUAGAUUCCCUUGCCAGUCAGUCGCCUUCCAGUACACUGAAGACUCUUUCCUUUGUUGGCUACCAGAACGUCUUGCACGGUUUCAAAUCAACAGCCAUAGAGACAUCCUAAACGUACAGCCUCAGGACACCCCGGGCACUCCGGGCUCCAGCUCUGAAUCAGCAAACUUCCUUCCAAGCUCAGCUCUCACCUUCUUCCACAAGGGCAGUUAAUAUACAUUUUCCUUCGUUCCAACACAUCUUCAAGAACCGGAUGCAUUUUCUGAAGCCAGGACUCCAGUGGUGUGAUGUCUUCACCACCUAAUCACCGGUAGGGAUAUUGAAGAAGUCUGAGGUUGCUAUUAAGUUUCUCAGGACAGAAUCAUCUUUGCGGAUGCAACUGCAGCACAGGAAACAGGG
ensembl:lncRNA